GGCAGUUCUCCAGUGACGCACCCUGGGAUUGGGCUCUCUCCUUUCUGGUUCUGGGUGCAUCACCUGAGAACCGCA
rfam:Myotis brandtii contig226533, whole genome shotgun sequence.